UCCUGUACUUGGUGUUACUGCGAAGGGGGGACGGAGAAGGCUAGGCUAGCCGGGCGACGGUUGUCCCGGUUUAAGCGUGUAGGGGGUGUGACCUGGUAAAUCCGGUUGCAUAUCAACCCUGAGGCGUGAUGACGAUGCGCUACGGUGCAGAAGUAGUUGAUGCCCUGCUUCCAGGAAAAGCCUCUAAGCUCCAGGUAACAUUAAAUCGUACCCCAAACCGACACAGGUGGUCAGGUAGAGAAUACCAAGGCGCUUGAGAGAACUCGGGUGAAGGAAC
rnacentral:rRNA from 1 species